rnacentral:lncRNA from 1 species
AGUGUGGCAUCAAGCAGAUGAAUUGGGCGCAUUGCAUCUGAUUCAGCCUCUUGAGGAGAAAGACUUCAUACUGAUCCAAAUAGACUCCCGAGAGGCAGAAAGAGGAAAAUGAUAAAUAAAUGCCAGCCAAGCUCUAAAAUGGAACACUCUAGCUGUGUGGCCACUGCUUUAAUGAAGACAGCUGCCAUUCUGUGAGCUGUUCUAUGAAGGAGCCCACUUGGCAAGGAACUGGGGGAGGUCUCAGAUUAACAGCCAGCAAGAAACUGAAUCCUGCUAACAACCACCUGAAUGAACAUGAAAGCAGACCCUUCCCCAAUUGAGUCUUCAGAUGAGACCCAGUGCUCACCUGCACCUAGGUUGGAGCCCUAAGAGAAACCUUGAAGCAGAGGAACCAGCUUAACCUGAUCCAUGGAAACUAUAAAAUAAAAUGUGUGUUGUUUAAA